ensembl:snRNA U6 U6 spliceosomal RNA
GUGCUCACUUCGGCAGCACAUGUACUAAAAUUGGAACAAUACAGACAAGAUUAGCACGGCCCCUGCACAAGGAUGACACGCAAAUUCGUGAAGUGUUCCAUAUAUUU